GCUCAGCGCAGCAGUCUAGAUGGGGAUCUGCCGACCCCAGAACCCUUCAUCGGCAGAUCCUGUAAGCCUCAUGCGGGUGUUCUGGCGUCCGAAGGAUUCUGGGGUCGGCAGAUCCCCGUCUAGACUGCUGCGCUGAGC
rnacentral:pre_miRNA from 1 species